UUGAUAACUAGACUAGAUUGGGUCUAUUUUUAUCCUAUGCCCUCAAACAAAAAAGAUCUGAGAUUUGAAUAGGUGGACUACUUUAUGGAGGAUGGGCUAUGGAAUGAAGAGAUGCCUAGAAAAAGCUUGCCAACUUACUGGUAGAUCACAUUAUCUUAAAAUUGCCUAAGGGAGAAAACAAUUCUGCUUCUGCUUGUGACAAGCUUUGGUGAUUAAGCAGAAGCAAAGGAAAUUUUACAGUUAUAACUGCUUGGGAAAUGGUCAUACAAAGGGCUGAACAACAUUGGUUCUUUAACAAAAUCUAAACUACAGGACUGCCUUAUAAAAUUUCUUUCUUUUUGUGGAGGGUUCGGAGAAUGAAACUAUCUAUUGAUGAUGUUUUAACUACUAUGCGGAUUAGCAUUGUUACACAAUGCAGGUGUUGUGAUAUUCCUCACUAAGAAAUACUUAUUCAUCUUUUUUUGACUAGAGAGAUUAUGCUAGAAGUAUUUGGAACUUAUUUGUAGGGAUAGAAGGGGUGCAGGGCCUUUCAUUCAUAUGACUUAGGCUAUGCACAAUGGUGGGAAGACUGAUGGUGCACCUAAACUUAAGCCACUUUACCAGGCUUCCCCCAUAAUUAUUUUAUGAGAAUUAUGGAAGAUGAGGGUAAGAUAGAUCAAACAAUGUCACAAAAUAAAGUGAUUAAUGACAUUAACCAAAAUCUUUACCUACUAGCUAAGGUAAGAUUUUCAUGAAUCAACUAUCCGUAAUUAAUUUAAAAAUUAGAUACUCAUAGGUAACUGUUAGAAUGUUGAAUGAUUAGUUGGCAAUUUCACUCCCGGGUACCUUUAAAUGCAACACCAAUGAAUUUUCUAGAGGUAAUCCUGGAUUUAGUUCCAUAGCCUUUUGUAUUAGAGAUUGGGUCGGUGAACUCAGAUAUGCAAGAACUAGGAAAAUUGACAACACUACUAGCCUAAAAGCUGGAGUUAUGGCUAUAUUGAACAUAACGAAGUAUUACGUGAAGCAUAAUGUGCUACCUGUUAUCCUAGAAACAGAUUCUCUGACCAUGUAGAAGGUUCUAGAAAGGGAAUGACAGAGCCCUUGGUCUAUCAAUAUGAUGGUUCAGAAUAUUAUGAAGUAGAAAAUGAAGGGAGAAGUCCAUGUUACUCAUGUGUUGAGGGAAGGAAACCAACUAUCGGGUUAUUUAACUAACAAGUUUGUUAAUUUUGCAGGUAUGAUACAAUUUCAUAUUGUAAGGCACUUACUAAUGGAGGCUAGAAGAAUUCUAAAUGCUGACAAGGGAAAAUACAUAAUUGAUGGGUACAAGAAAUGGAGCUUGGCUAAAUUCUACAGCAACGAUCCAAAGCAGCAAGACAACAAAUGUAUCCCAGCCCGACUGGCCAAGGACUAAUCUUCCGCAGAUUUAAGCUCUAUUUAAGGAUUUGCCGCUGGUCAAUUGGUUGUUGCAUGCACAAGGCGGGAAUCGAACCCUCGACACUUGCUUAAGCAAUCUAGCAAGCUAACCACCAGGCCAACAAUACCAACAUUUAGAUACCAAUUGUAACAAUCCAUGUGAAUGCCCAUUCAACAACACUGGAUACCACGUAUUAGAAAGUAACCUAUAGACUAGAUCUAUCAUUACUGUAUCAAUACCAAACUUUCGCUUAACUUUGGUGAUGAAAAUUCAUGAUAGCCUGUCAUAGGCCUUUGUCAUGUCUAGUUUUCUCACCACAUUAGCAGACUUGGUUAUGAACCUAAUGUCUCUAAUUAUUUCUUGGGACAGAGACAUAUUCUCCAUAAAACUUCUCUCUUUAACAAAACUAGCCUGACUAUUUAAAAUCAACAGAGGGAGUAAUUUCACACGUCUCUCAUGUAUCAUCCUAGAUAUCACUGUUUAUGAAAUUACUCAAAGUGAUAGGCUUGACAUCGGAAAAGUAGUUGUUUGAUAUUUCUUAGGUAGCAAUACCAAAAUUUGUAUGGCCAUAAAUUUUGGUAGAGUAGACCCCUUAAAGAAAGCCUUCACUACUGCAAUCACUUUAAUUUUGAUGAUCUUCCAACAACUCUGAUAAAAGGCACCUGUGAAGCCAUUUGGCACACUUGUACUCUCCACAUUUAAUGCAAAACAACAUUCUUUACUUCA